rnacentral:rRNA from 1 species
CCUACGGGUGGCAGCAGUAAGGAAUAUUGGGCAAUGGAGGCAACUCUGACCCAGCCAUGCCGCGUGAAGGAUGACGGCCCUAUGGGUUGUAAACUUCUUUUAUACGGGAAUAAACCCGGGUACGUGUACCCGGCUGAAUGUACCGUAAGAAUAAGGAUCGGCUAACUCCGUGCCAGCAGCCGCGGUAAUACGGAGGAUCCAAGCGUUAUCCGGAUUCAUGGGGGCUGAGGGGGGCGUGGGAGGAAGCGGUGAAAUCCUACAGCUUAACUGUAGAACUGCCGUUGAUACUGCAAGUCUUGAGUACAUUUGAUGUGGGCGGAAUGUGUCAUGUAGCGGUGAAAUGCUUAGAUAUGACACGGAACACCAAUUGCGAAGGCAGCUCACAAAACUGUAACUGACGCUGAGGCACGACAGCGUGGAGAUCAAACAGGAUUAGAUACCCCGGUAGUC